rnacentral:rRNA from 1 species
GGUUAAGUUAGAAAGGGCGCACGGUGGAUGCCUUGGCACUAGGAGCCGAAGAAGGACGGGACUAACACCGAUAUGCUUUGGGGAGCUGUACGUAAGCGUUGAUCCAGAGAUUUCCGAAUGGGGGAACCCACUAUCUUUAGUCGGAUAGUAUCCUUACGUGAAUACAUAGCGUGAGGAAGGCAGACCCAGGGAACUGAAACAUCUAAGUACCUGGAGGAAGAGAAAGAAAAAUCGAUUUCCUGAGUAGCGGCGAGCGAAACGGAAAGAGCCCAAACCAAGAAGCUUGCUUCUUGGGGUUGUAGGACACUCUAUACGGAGUUACAAAAGAAAGUUAUAAAUGAAGCGGUCUGGAAAGGCCCGCCAAAGACGGUAACAGCCCGGUAGUUGAAAUGGCUUUCCCUCCAGAGUGGAUCCUGAGUACGGCGGAACACGUGAAAUUCCGUCGGAAUCCGGGAGGACCAUCUCCCAAGGCUAAAUACUCCCUAGUGACCGAUAGUGAACCAGUACCGUGAGGGAAAGGUGAAAAGCACCCCGGAAGGGGAGUGAAACAGUUCCUGAAACCGUGUGCCUACAAGUAGUUAGAGCCCGUUAAUGGGUGAUAGCGUGCCUUUUGUAGAAUGAACCGGCGAGUUACGAUUUGUUGCAAGGUUAAGCGGAAAAAGCGGAGCCGUAGCGAAAGCGAGUCUGAAUAGGGCGCAUAAGUAACAGGUCGUAGACCCGAAACCAGGUGAUCUACCCAUGUCCAGGAUGAAGGUAAGGUAAUACUUACUGGAGGUCCGAACCCACGCACGUUGAAAAGUGCGGGGAUGAGGUGUGGGUAGCGGAGAAAUUCCAAUCGAACUUGGAGAUAGCUGGUUCUCUCCGAAAUAGCUUUAGGGCUAGCCUCGAGGUAAAGAGUCAUGGAGGUAGAGCACUGUUUGGACUAGGGGCCCUUCUCGGGUUACCGAAUUCAGAUAAACUCCGAAUGCCAUGUACUUAUACUCGGGAGUCAGACUGCGAGUGAUAAGA